rfam:Pseudovibrio sp. FO-BEG1, complete genome.
CCCGGUGGCUAUGGCGGGGCGCCCCCACCCGAUCCCAUCCCGAACUCGGAAGUGAAACGCCCCUGCGCCAAUGGUACUUCGUCUUAAGACGCGGGAGAGUAGGGCGCCGCCGGGC